rnacentral:rRNA from 1 species
AUGAACGCUGGCGGCGUGCCUAAUACAUGCAAGUCGCGCGAACAGACGAGGAGCUUGCUCCUCUGACGUUAGCGGCGGACGGGUGAGUAACACGUGGAUAACCUACCUAUAAGACUGGGAUAACUUCGGGAAACCGGAGCUAAUACCGGAUAAUAUAUUGAACCGCAUGGUUCAAUAGUGAAAGACGGUUUUGCUGUCACUUAUAGAUGGAUCCGCGCCGCAUUAGCUAGUUGGUAAGGUAACGGCUUACCAAGGCAACGAUGCGUAGCCGACCUGAGAGGGUGAUCGGCCACACUGGAACUGAGACACGGUCCAGACUCCUACGGGAGGCAGCAGUAGGGAAUCUCCCGCAAUGGGCGAAAGCCUGACGGAGCAACGCCGCGUGAGUGAUGAAGGUCUUCGGAUCGUAAAACUCUGUUAUUAGGGAAGAACAAAUGUGUAAGUAACUAUGCACGUCUUGACGGUACCUAAUCAGAAAGCCACGGCUAACUACGUG